rnacentral:lncRNA from 1 species
AUAAAUAUAUACAUGGCACCAACUACACUUCCCCCCCAAAAAAAUGAAACAGAAAAAAGAAAACGAACACCGACCGUCCCUAAAGCAAGUGGCAAAGGGCUUGGUGGUUGGUACCCGAGACCCAAGUUUGAAUCCUAGUUGAUUCACAUUUCCAGCUAAAUUUAUUUCUAAAUGAAAUAUACGAAGCGGGUAGCGUGCAGCUACCUAUCUCUCAAAAAAGAAAAAAGAAAAAAGAAAAAAAA